CACGUAGGGGGCAAGCGUUGUCCGGAUUCAUUGGGCGUAAAGAGCUCGUAGGCGGUUCGAUAAGUCGGGUGUGAAACCUCCAGGCUCAACCUGGAGACGCCACCCGAUACUGUCGUGACUAGAGUCCAGUAGGGGAGCGUGGAAUUCCUGGUAUAGCGGUGAAAUGCGCAGAUAUCAGGAGGAACACCAGCGGCGAAGGCGGCGCUCUGGGCUGGAACUGACGCUGAGGAGCGAAAGCGUGGGGAGCGAACAGG
rnacentral:rRNA from 1 species